AGUGAACGCUGGCGGUAGGCCUAACACAUGCAAGUCGAACGGCAGCACAGUAAGAGCUUGCUCUUACGGGUGGCGAGUGGCGGACGGGUGAGGAAUACAUCGGAAUCUACUUUUUCGUGGGGGAUAACGUAGGGAAACUUACGCUAAUACCGCAUACGACCUACGGGUGAAAGCAGGGGAUCUUCGGACCUUGCGCGAUUGAAUGAGCCGAUGUCGGAUUAGCUAGUUGGCGGGGUAAAGGCCCACCAAGGCGACGAUCCGUAGCUGGUCUGAGAGGAUGAUCAGCCACACUGGAACUGAGACAGGGCCCAGACCCCAAGGGAAGGCAGCGGUGGGGAUAUUGGACAAUGGGCGCAAGCCUGAUCCAGCCAUACCGCGUGGGUGAAGAAGGCCUUCGGGUUGUAAAGCCCUUUUGUUGGGAAAGAAAAGCAGCAGGUUAAUACCCCGCUGUUCUGACGGUACCCAAAGAAUAAGCACCGGCUAACUUCGUG
rnacentral:rRNA from 1 species